rnacentral:lncRNA from 1 species
CCCCUCCUCCCUUCACUCAAGGAGUGUAAGUUUCAUCUGAAACAGUACAACGCUAUCCUGAAACGGUGUAAUUUCAUCAUCUUUUUCUUUUCUCUCUUAUUCUUCAUCUUUUUGAAUAAAAAGUUGUUUUUUAUUUUUUACUCUUUAUUCUUUUUAUUUUUUGCAUCUUUUUUCGUUGCUGUAAUGAUCCGGCCCACUAGCAAUAACAACUCGUUGGGUUCAAACCAUCGGCUAAAAUGCUUAAGCUCAAUUAUUAUAUCUAGCCUAAUCAAGCUUAUAUACUCUCACAUCUAACCAUAACUAUCCGAUGUGGGAUUAUUGGGAUGUCACAGACUCCCCCCGUUUAGCCUCUGACGUCCUCGCUAACCUUGUCAUUUCGACCCUGACUUAGCCUAUUAUUCACCGACCCUGACUUACUCUGUCAUUCCGACUCUAG